GUCAGCUCGUGUCGUGAGAUGUUGGGUUAAGUCCCGCAACGAGCGCAACCCUUAUGUUUAGUUGCUACGCAAGAGCACUCUAGACAGACUGCCGUUGACAAAACGGAGGAAGGUGGGGAUGACGUCAAAUCAUCAUGCCCUUUAUGACCUGGGCUUCACCCGUACUACAAUGGUUGCAAACAGAGGGAAGCAAUACAGUGAUGUGGAGCAAAUCCCUAAAAGCGAUCUCAGUUCGGAUUGUAGGCUGCAACUCGCCUACAUGAAGUCGGAAUUGCUAGUAAUCGCGGAUCAGCAUGCCGCGGUGAAUACGUUCCCGGGUCUUGUACACACCGCCCGUCACACCAUGGGAGUCGGGAAUGCCCGAAGCCGGUGACCCAACCGCAAGGAGGGAGCCGUCGAAGGCAGGCCUGGUAACUGGGGUGAAGUCGUAACAAGGUAGCCGUUCGAGAACGAGCGGCUGGAUCACCUCCUUU
rnacentral:rRNA from 1 species